rnacentral:rRNA from 1 species
UACGUAGGGGGCAAGCGUUGUCCGGAUUUAUUGGGCGUAAAGAGCGUGUAGGCGGUUUGGUAGGUCCGCUGUGAAAACUCGAGGCUCAACCUCGAGACGCCGGUGGAAACCAUCAGGCUAGAGUCCGGAAGAGGAGAGUGGAAUUCCCGGUGUAGCGGUGAAAUGCGCAGAUAUCGGGAGGAACACCAAUGGCGAAGGCAGCUCGCUGGGACGGUACUGACGCUGAGACGCGAAAGCGUGGGGAGCAAACAGG